GGAUGUGAGGGUGAUCUGGCUGUGACAUGUGUCACCCCAUUGAUCACCAGGGUUAAUACGGCUGAUCUGGCUGGUUAGGCGAGUAUCCCCUUCCUCCCUUACUGCUCCAUGUGUGUCCCUCCCAAAGCUAUGCGCUCGGUGGAAAAGGACAAACUUCCCUGAAUAGAGGAGGAUUAGUCUUCGGUGAAGGGUAUACGAGUAGCUGUGCUCCCCUGCUCGAACCUCUAAACAAGCUCUCAAGGUCUAAUGAAUUUGUUCAGCAAACAUUUUCCACCAGUGACAUUUACUAGAAUCAGAUUUCAAGGAAAUAUACUGU
rfam:Mesocricetus auratus contig064515, whole genome shotgun sequence.